rnacentral:rRNA from 1 species
UACAGAGGUGCCAAGCGUUAGGCGGAAUCACUGGGCUUAAAGCGCGUGUAGGGGGGUCGUUAAGUGUCCGCGUGAAAUCCCACGGCUCAACCGUGGAACUGCCGGGCAUACUGGCGAUCUUGAGGCAUUCAGGGGCGAGCGGAACAAGUGGUGGAGCGGUGAAAUGCGUAGAGAUGCGGAGGAACACCGAUGGCGAAGGCAGCCCCCUGGGCUAACACUGACGCUCAGGCACGAAAGCGUGGGGAGCAAACAGG